CAUCACAGCCACCAGCCGAAAAAAAAAGUCCCUGACCUCAAACCGAAGGCAUCCGUGGCAAAGAAAGCAUCUGAGCUGGAGAUUGUGUUCGGUUCAUGUCUUUGUUUUUUAUUUUGAAGGUUGGGUGGGAUUAAUGAGAGUUACGAGGCUUUAAAGAGAUAUAUAGGCACACAAACGUUGAUGCCUUUUUAAAGGCUAUGAAAGUUGGAAGCUGGUCUUUGUUGACUUUUUGUAUCAUUCUUUUCUAGAUGUGAUAAUCAUAACUCUCAUAUAUAUCAACUUUAAGGUUUUUUAUAAGGACAUGGUUAUAAUAUGAAAAGUUUUUGGAGAGAAAUCCCCAUUUUCAGUAAAACAAAAGUUUUGCAUAAACGUAUCCGAAUACACACAUACAUUUUACUUCUCGG